rnacentral:rRNA from 1 species
CCCUAAAAACCUAAACAACUCCCAACAAACUUCCUUUUGCAUAAGGAGUAACCAAAAAUCUAGAUCCAAAUCUACAAUAGAAAGAUAGUAAACUACGAGUACUUAAAAUUUACAUGAAAUCUAACAUUAAAAUACUCGAAGAGACAUUCAAUACACUAUCUGAUAACCAUUUCAAAAUAAACUUAGUACAAACUAAGUAAAACAUUAUAUAAUUCAAGCUAUUAGGCUUAGAAUCAACCAAUACAAUAGUUCGUAAUUGACUAGCUUAACACAAUAAUAACUUAUCCCAAAUCACUCAAAACCAAAGACUGAUAAACCAUGGUUACAUUAGUAAGAGCAACAAAAUCUACAUGUUACAAUUCGGCAACAAACCCUCUACUGUUUAAUAAAAACAUUGUAAUAUAAAUAUAUUAUAACCUCCUGCCCAAUGAAAAUAAUUAAAUGGCCGCGGUAAUUUGACCGUGCAAAGGUAGCAUAAUCAAUUGUUUAAUAAAUUUAAACUAGAAUGAAAGGAGUAAAGAAAGUUUACUAUUAACAUGUAAUCAACAGAAAUUAUAAUUAAGGUGAAAAUUCCUACAGCAAUCUAAAAC